rnacentral:rRNA from 1 species
CCUACGGGUGGCAGCAGUGAGGAAUAUUGGUCAAUGGACGAGAGUCUGAACCAGCCAAGUAGCGUGAAGGAUGACUGCCCUAUGGGUUGUAAACUUCUUUUAUAUGGGAAUAAAACGUUCCACGUGUGGGCUUUUGUAUGUACCAUAUGAAUAAGCAUCGGCUAACUCCGUGCCAGCAGCCGCGGUAAUACGGAGGAUCCGAGCGUUAUCCGGAUUUAUUGGGUUUAAAGGGAGCGUAGAUGGGUUGUUAAGUCAGUUGUUAAAGUUUGCGGCUCAACCGUAAAAUUGCAAUUGAUACUGGCAGUCUUGAGUACAGUUGAGGUAGGCGGAAUACGUGGUGUAGCGGUGAAAUGCUUAGAUAUCACGAAGAACUCCGAUUGCGAAGGCAGCUUACUAAACUGCCACUGACAUUGAUGCUCGAAAGUGUGGGUAUCAAACAGGAUUAGAUACCCCAGUAGUC